CGGCAGCGUAGUCCUGCCCUUCACCAAAGGCCCUUUCCCCACCCUGCAGUGCGCUGUAUGCCCAGUGCCUCCAGCUGGUGGCUUGGAAGAGCUGCAGGCUGCAGACAGGGCUCUGUGGAGCUGCACUAGCAGCAGAAGCAGCAGCUGCGCCUGCUGCAGUGUUCAUGAUCUGACCAGCUGCUUGGUAGCAGGUGUUCCACAGCAUAUCAUGCAUAGUCAAGUGGGCCUGCAACUGGGAUGUGAGAAGACGAGUGGCCUGCACAUUGUGACUGUGCCUAUGGGCUUUGAAGUCCUGUGGCACUGAUGUCUCGUGCAUGCUUCUGUCAAGGUGCCUUUUGUUUCUUCCCUGUGCUGCAAGUCAGCUACAGCUCUGCCCAGGUAUUUCAGCAGGGAUGCGUGAGGGGCUAACCUUGCCGUUCAUGGCUUAAAGCCACACAUAAUACUGAAGGUGCAGGGCCAAAAGUGCCUGAGUUUCCACAGCCUCAGUGAGGGUAGAGCAACCGAACUACAGGGCUCAAAGGCCCAGACUCUGCAGGGGCUCUUUGGAAGGGACAUUUUCUAA